rnacentral:rRNA from 1 species
UACAGAGGAGCCAAGCGUUGUCCGGAUUGACUGGGCGUAAAGCGCACGCAGGCGGUGGUGCGCGUGGGGUGUGAAAUCUGGCCGCUUAACGGCCAGGCGCCAUCCCAUACGGCACGACUGGAGGGCUGCAGAGGUCGAUGGAAUUGCCGGUGUAGUGGUGAAAUGCGUAGAGAUCAUGAGGAAGACCAGUGGCGAAGGCGGGUCUCUGGACAGUUCCUGACACUGAGGCACGAAGGCCAGGGGAGCAAACGGG